ACCCCUGUCCAAAGAACAACUACUCAGCAGAUAUGACGAUGUAUUCAACAGGCCCGUUGAAUCAGUGCCUGGGGAGGUACACUUUGAAUUGGAUGAGAGCAUCAGUCCAGUGUGCUCCUCGCAAUGUGCCCAUUGCAAUGUGAAGGCCCAGCUGGACAAGGCGCAGAUGGCCACAUGACAUCUGUGACUAAACCAACUGACUGGAUCAGCAAUAUGGUCAUAGUGAAAAAAACAGAGAAGCUGAGGGUCUGCAUCGACCCAAAGCAUCUGAACCAAGCACUGAAACGAUCCCACUACAUCAUGCCGACACUAGAGGAUGUCCUCUAUAAGCUUCCAAAGGCCAGGAUUUUCACCUUGGUGGAUGCCCGAGAUGCAUUCCUUCAAUGCAAGCUGGACGAAGAAAGCAGCUUCAUGACUACCUUCUGGACCCCUGGGGUGGGAAACGCUGGCUCAAGCUCCCGUUUGGUGUCUCAGUGGCGCCUGAGGUAUACCAACGCAAGCAGCACGAGUUACUGGCUGGGCUCAAGGGCAUUGAACCCAUAGCCGGUGAUGUCCUGAUCGUAGGCUGUGGUGACACAGACGAAGAAGCAGAACGUAUUCAUGAUGUGAAGCUCCUGGCACUGAUGGAGCGCUGCCGAUCAGUUAAGCUUGGCCUUGGCCAGAAGAAGCUGCAGUUCAAGGUGAAAGAUGUCCACUUCCAUGGUCGCAUUCUCUCGGCCAAAUGCCCGAAGCCGGACCUAGACAAAGACAGAGUGAUCCUCGACAAGCCAAACCCGUCUGAUGCAAAAGGAGUACAGCUUCUCAUCGGCUUUGCAAACUAUCUUGCAAAGUUCAUGCCACACCUAUCAACAGUCUGUGAGCCUCUGAGCCGGUUGCUGGACAAAGACAAGUAUUUCAAGUAUUUUUUACUUAAGUACUUUACACCACUGACAAUGACUCACCAUAUUCCAGAAGCACAAUCAACACCUCUAGUCAGGUGUUGAAAACUAGUAUGAGCUAUACACUAUGGUGCAAUGCAUCAGAUUAUUGUUUAUUAAAUGUGUUAAUGUGUUUGUACCUGUCCCUAUUCAAAUAAACCAGAAAAUACCACAUUCACCAUUAUAAAGCAGUUAAGUUCUGCCACGGUUUGAGGAAAGAAAGAUAGUUGGUGAAAUCCCAUGUCUAGAGAAUCCUGUAGUAGUCUAUCAGUUUUUCUGUGAUGAAAAUAAAUCUGUUAUUGAACGUU